UGGCCUCCACACAAAUGGGCUUUAAUAAACCCAAUUAUGGUCCAAUAUCUUAAUGAAUACGGAAGUAUUGCCGUUCUUUCUUAAACAAUCAGAACUUGUAGAAUAAAUGGAAAUGUAAAGAUUUUGAUGAAAUAGAAGUGAAAUUAUUUUAAUUCUUUCAGGACAAAGCUUGACAGGAAAUUCCACAAAUCUAGUAUCUUAUAUGAUGUGGCAUAGUACAAUCUGGGAUCCAUU